rnacentral:rRNA from 1 species
CCCUUAGAUGUUCUGGGCUGCACGCGUGCUACACUGAUAUUGCCAAUAUGUCAUUCUUAUCCGAAAUGGAUUGGGUAAUCAAGUAAUGAAAUUUCAUGCUUGGAAUCGGUAAUUGCAGUUUUAUCGUGAACGAGGAAUUCCUAGUAAGCACUAGUCAUCAGCUAAUGUUGAUUAUGUCCCUGCCCUUUGUACACACCGCCCGUCGCUACUACUGAUUGGGUGUUCAAGUGAGAUGCUUAGACCCUUGUUGCAUGGUUCAUUAUUGUGCUCCGAAAGGAAAAAGUUUCAAGCUUGAGUGUCUAGAGGAAGUAAAAGUCGUAACA